rnacentral:rRNA from 1 species
GACGAACGCUGGCGGCGUGCCUAACACAUGCAAGUCGAGCGAAGUGCUUUAAGCGGAAUCUUCGGAGGAAGCUUAAAGUAUCUUAGCGGCGGACGGGUGAGUAAUGCGUGAGGAACCUGCCUUUCACAAGGGGAUAGCCUCGGGAAACUGGGAUUAAUACCCUAUGACACCUAAGUAUCGCAUGAUACUUAGGUUAAAGCGCAAAGCGGUGGAAGAUGGCCUCACGUCCCAUUAGCUAGUUGGUGAGGUAAAGGCUCACCAAGGCAACGAUGGGUAGCCGGCCUGAGAGGGUGACCGGCCACACUGGGACUGAGACACGGCCCAGACUCCUACGGGAGGCAGCAGUAGGGAAUAUUGCGCAAUGGACGGAAGUCUGACGCAGCGACGCCGCGUGAGUGAUGAAGGUCUUCGGAUCGUAAAGCUCUGUCCUUGGGGAGAAGGCGAAAGCUUGACGGUACCCAAGAAGAAAGCCCGGCUAACUACGUGCCAGCAGCCGCGGUAAU